rnacentral:rRNA from 1 species
UACGGAGGGUGCAAGCGUUGCUCGGAAUUAUUGGGCGUAAAGGGCAGGUAGGUGGUCUCAUUUGUCUGGGGUGAAAGCCUUGAGCUUAACUCAAGAAGUGCCCCAGAAACGGUGAGACUAGAGUCUUGGAGAGGGUCGUGGAAUUCCCGGUGUAGCGGUGAAAUGCGUAGAGAUCGGGAGGAACACCAGUGGCGAAGGCGGUUCUCUGGGCAUUACCUGACGCUGAGGAGCGAAAGCAUGGGGAGCGAACAGG